GCGGGGGUGGCGGAAUCGGCAGACGCAGCGGCCUUAAAAGCCGCGGACCUCACGGUCAUGAGGGUUCGAGUCCCUCUCCCCGCA
rnacentral:tRNA from 1 species